rnacentral:rRNA from 1 species
GAUGAACGCUGGCGGCGUGCCUAAUACAUGCAAGUCGAGCGAACGGACGAGAAGCUUGCUUCUCUGAUGUUAGCGGCGGACGGGUGAGUAACACGUGGAUAACCUACCUAUAAGACUGGGAUAACUUCGGGAAACCGGAGCUAAUACCGGAUAAUAUUUUGAACCGCAUGGUUCAAAAGUUAAAGACGGUCUUGCUGUCACUUAUAGAUGGAUCCGCGCUGCAUUAGCUAGUUGGUAAGGUAACGGCUUACCAAGGCAACGAUGCAUAGCCGACCUGAGAGGGUGAUCGGACACACUGGAACUGAGACACGGUCCAGACUCCGACGGGAGGCAGCAGUAGGGAAUCUUACGCAAUGGGCGAAAGCCUGACGGAGCAACGCCGCGUGAGUGAUGAAGGUCUUCUGAUCGUAAAACUCUGUUAUUAGGGAAGAACAUAUGUGUAAGUAACUGUGCACAUCUUGACGGUACCUAAUCAGAAAGCCACGGCUAACUACGUG